AAUAAGACUAUUUUGUAUUUUGCCUAAAAUACAAGCCCAAACAAAACAAUGCAGCGUCACUAUCGCCAGUCAUCAAGCUCACUUAGUGACUUUAGCAUUGACACAAAAACAAAUUAGAGUAAGAAGGUCUGUUUACAAAUUGCCACCAUGGACUGCCUCCAAAAAAACGAACCAGGUACAACUCAGAGAGGUGCCCAACUGAGGGAAGCGGAAGGAGAGGCAGCGCGUGAGGAAUAAUGAAUGGGCUGGGAGCACAUCAUUGUGUCUGGCUGUCCAGAGUGCGCUACUGCGUGCCCUCAGCAGAGGCUGCUGUUCUCCCACUGAUACCACUGGUGAAAGUUGUUCCAUUUGUCUGCACAGACCUCCUGACGACCCCAAUUAUACUGCUUCCCAUAGGGGCGCAAGAACUCUGGUCUUCCCGUUGGGUCAGAUUGGCCAAAGUUAAGAAUUGAGACAGAACUCCCACUGGAUCAUUUUUUCUUCCCUUACCCUCCUCCUGCUGACUGGUGUCCUUUAACCUGGACUAUGUGCCUACUGUACCAGUUUUCCCCCUCCAAUGGAACACCACUCAAUCCAAAAUGCAACAAAAUGCAAUCGCAAGAAUGACAACAAACAGAUGUAUAACAUAUUCCAAGUACAGUUUUGUAGUUGCAGUUGCCUUUAUGACGGCUUCUCUUCUGGAGUUAACACAUUGUGAGUGGAACCAUCACAGGAUCAAAAGUGAUUCCGGCAGUAGCAGAAUUUAACUGGAACUGUUAUGGACUCUGACAUUUCUCCAUACUGCUUUAAACUUCAAAAGGACAGAUUCAGGAAACAGCCAGCAAUUUUGCAAAGCACAUUUAAUUCCUGGACUUUACACAGAUUUCUACAUUCUGUAUCCAUAUUGCUGGGAAAUGAUAUUAAAAGUGGCAAAAACUAAGGCCAACCCUGAUUUGCUGAUAUGAAACUGUGAUACAAAUCAAAGACUGUUAGCCAUACGCCUUUGCUUAGCUCUGCGUGCUCUGUAUUGCUAAUAUGUGAAACACCUACGUACGUGUGCUGGUUGCAGCCUUUCCCCUGACUAGGGUUGGGUAUCGUUUGGAUUUUUUCCGAUACCGGUGCUAAAACUAUACUUUUAAAACGGUGCCGGUGCCUGAACCAGUGCCUGAAUCGAAAUAUAUAUAAUAUGUAUUUAUAAUGUAUAUAAUAUAAAAUAUUUUUUAAAAAAGGAGCGCAAAACGACAGUUGGCGACAUUAAAGAACAGCUUGUUUAUUGCUAAGGCCAUAUUGUCAAAAUUAAAUGAUUGAUUAAUAAUGUAAUGACAAUAACUUAUAGCAAUGACGUAUUUCACCAGUAAAUUGCUGUUAAAUGACAAAAACAAGCACCAGAUGGGAAAAGGGUAUUUUACAAUAACUUAAAAUGCACCACAAGGCUGGCGAGUUUCAAGUAAACUUGAGUGUCUGUGUUGUUUUUCCGACAACAGCAGCUGCAGUCAGACUGUUACGUCCCGGUGUUGGAAUCCUCUACAGGGAAAUACAGUCACACUUAACACUGUUUAACGUUAGUUGUCAGCAUUUUAACCAUUGUGUUUAAUCCAGCUACUAGCUAACGGUA
ensembl:lncRNA